rnacentral:rRNA from 1 species
UACGUAGGGGGCAAGCGUUGUCCGGAAUUAUCGGGCGUAAAGAGCGCGUAGGCGGUCCGAUAAGUCGGCUGUGAAGGUCAAGGGCUCAACCCUUGAAAGCCGGCCGAUACUGUCGGACUAGAGUCCGGAAGAGGCGAGUGGAAUUCCCGGUGUAGCGGUGAAAUUCGUAGAUAUUGGGAAGAACACCGGUGGCGAAGGCGGCGCUCUGGACCGAGACUGACGCUGAGGCGCGAAAGCGUGGGGAGCAAACAGG